GAUUACGAUGCGACGCCGCGUGGGGGAUGAAGGCUUUCGAGUCGUAAACCUCUGUGUCACGGGAUGAAUUGCUCGUUGCUGAUAACGCAACGGGUUUGACGUUACCGUGGUAGAAAGCCCCAGCUAACUACGUGCCAGCAGCUGCGGUAAGACGUAGGGGGCAAGCGUUGUCCGGAAUCACUGGGCGUAAAGCGCGCGCAGGCGGUGGUGUCAGUCAGACGUGAAAGGGUUCGGCUCAACCGAACCACUGCGUUUGAUACUACAUCACUUGAGUCUGGAAGAGGAAAGUGGAAUGAACGGUGUAGCGGUGAAAUGCUCAGAUAUCGUUUAGAACACCCGUGGCGAAGGCGGCUUUCUGGUCUAAGACUGACGCUCAUGCGCGAAAGUUUGGGGAGCAACCGGGAUUAGAUACCCCGCUAGUCCUUACUGUAAACGAUGGGUACUAAGUGUAGGGGGUGUUGAUUCCCUCUGUGCUGUAGCUAACGCAUUAAGUACCCCGCCUGGGGAGUACGGCCGCAAGGUUUAAAACUCAAGGUAAUUGACGGGGGGCCGCACAAGCGGUGGAGCAUGUCGCUUAAUUCGACGCAACGCGAAGAACCUUAACCAGGGCUUGACAUCUUAGUGACCGCCAUAGAAAUAUGGUUUUCCCUUGGGACGCUAUGACAGGUACUGCAUGGCUGUCGUCAGCUCGUGUCGUGAGAUGUUUGGGUUUAAGUCCCGCAACGAGCGCAACCCCUGUCUUUAGUUGCCAUCAGGUAAUGCUGGGGACUCUAAAGAGACCGCUUGGUGACGAGCUCAAUC
rnacentral:rRNA from 1 species